rnacentral:tRNA from 1 species
CAGAUUGUUGCGUAAUUGGUAACGUCUAUACAUUGGGUGUAUAAUUAUGGGGGUUCAAGUCCCUUCAAUCUGA